GCUUACCGAGGACAUGACCUUAGAUAGGAGGGUAUGGAGGACUCAUAUUAGGGUAGAAGGCUAGUAGGUAGUCGCGUUUAUCCUUUCUUACGAGUAGUUAUAUUGCUCUAUAGUUUCUUGUCUCUUGAUUUCUGCGAGUAUCUGUUGGUUUAUAAUGGCUUAUUUACUUUCAUUGUUUUCAUUUUCAUAAUUGCUUUGAUUUGUUUGCCCGUAUCUGACCUUUCCUAUGCUUUUUCUUGAGCCGAGGGUCUUCCGGAAACAGCCUCCCUACCUAAGGUGGGGGUAAGGUCUGCGUACACUCUACCCUCCCCAGACCCCACGUUGUGGGAUUCACUGGGUAUGUUGUUGUUGUUGUUG